rnacentral:rRNA from 1 species
GGUGAAGCAGAGCUUGCCUCUGUGGAUCAGUGGCGAACGGGUGAGUAACACGAGAGCAACCUGCCCCUGACUCUGGGAUAAGCGCUGGAAACGGCGUCUAAUACUGGAUAUGAGCUGCGACCGCAUGGUCAGCAGUUGGAAAGAUUUUUCGGUCUGGGAUGGGCUCACGGCCUAUCAGCUUGUUGGUGAGGUAAUGGCUCACCAAGGCGUCGACGGGUAGCCGGCCUGAGAGGGUGACCGGCCACACUGGGACUGAGACACGGCCCAGACUCCUACGGGAGGCAGCAGUGGGGAAUAUUGCACAAUGGGCGCAAGCCUGAUGCAGCAACGCCGCGUGAGGGACGACGGCCUUCGGGUUGUAAACCUCUUUUAGCAGGGAAGAAGCGAAAGUGACGGUACCUGCAGAAAAAGCGCCGGCUAACUACGUGCCAGCAGCCGCGGUAAUACGUAGGGCGCAAGCGUUAUCCGGAAUUAUUGGGCGUAAAGAGCUCGUAGGCGGUUUGUCGCGUCUGCUGUGAAAUCCCGAGGCUCAACCUCGGGUCUGCAGUGGGUACGGGCAGACUAGAGUGCGGUAGGGGAGAUUGGAAUUCCUGGUGUAGCGGUGGAAUGCGCAGAUAUCAGGAGGAACACCGAUGGCGAAGGCAGAUCUCUGGGCCGUUACUGACGCUGAGGAGCGAAAGGGUGGGGAGCAAACAGGCUUAGAUACCCUGGUAGUCCACCCCGUAAACGUUGGGAACUAGUUGUGGGGUCCAUUCCACGGAUUCCGUGACGCAGCUAACGCAUUAAGUUCCCCGCCUGGGGAGUACGGCCGCAAGGCUAAAACUCAAAGGAAUUGACGGGGACCCGCACAAGCGGCGGAGCAUGCGGAUUAAUUCGAUGCAACGCGAAGAACCUUACCAAGACUUGACAUAUACGAGAACGGGCCAGAAAUGGUCAACUCUUUGGACACUCGUAAACAGGUGGUGCAUGGUUGUCGUCAGCUCGUGUCGUGAGAUGUUGGGUUAAGUCCCGCAACGAGCGCAACCCUCGUUCUAUGUUGCCAGCACGUAAUGGUGGGAACUCAUGGGAUACUGCCGGGGUCAACUCGGAGGAAGGUGGGGAUGACGUCAAAUCAUCAUGCCCCUUAUGUCUUGGGCUUCACGCAUGCUACAAUGGCCGGUACAAAGGGCUGCAAUACCGCGAGGUGGAGCGAAUCCCAAAAAGCCGGUCCCAGUUCGGAUUGAGGUCUGCAACUCGACCUCAUGAAGUCGGAGUCGCUAGUAAUCGCAGAUCGGCAACGCUGCGGUGAAUACGUUCCCGGGUCUUGUCUUUCCCUCCCUCAAGUCAUGAAAGUCGGUAAC